GACGAACGCUGGCGGCGUGCUUAACACAUGCAAGUCGAGCGGUAAGGCCCUUUCGGGGGUACACGAGCGGCGAACGGGUGAGUAACACGUGGGUGACCUGCCCUCAGCUCUGGGAUAAGCCUGGGAAACUGGGUCUAAUACUGGAUAUGACUCCACGGUGCAUGUCGUGGGGUGGAAAGCCUUGUGCGGCUGAGGAUGGGCCCGCGGCCUAUCAGCUUGUUGGUGGGGUGAGGCCUACCAAGGCGACGACGGGUAGCCGGCCUGAGAGGGCGACCGGCCACACUGGGACUGAGACACGGCCCAGACUCCUACGGGAGGCAGCAGUGGGGAAUAUUGGACAAUGGGCGAAAGCCUGAUCCAGCGAUGCCGCGUGUGUGAAGAAGGCCUGCGGGUUGUAAAGCACUUUCAGUAGGGAAGAAAAGCCGAGUGCCAAUACCACUCGGUCUUUGACGUUACCUAAAGAAGAAGCACCGGCUAACUCCGU
rnacentral:rRNA from 1 species